rnacentral:rRNA from 1 species
UACAGAGGGUGCGAGCGUUAAUCGGAUUUACUGGGCGUAAAGCGUGCGUAGGCGGUUCGCUAAGUCGGUUGUGAAAUCCCUGGGCUUAACCUGGGAACUGCAGUCGAUACUGGCGGACUAGAGUACGGUAGAGGGUGGCGGAACUCCGGGUGUAGCGGUGAAAUGCGUAGAUAUCCGGAAGAACACCGGAUGGCGAAGGCAACCACCUGGGCCUGUACUGACGACUGAGGUACG